GUGGGGAAUAUUGGACAAUGGGCGAAAGCCUGAUCCAGCCAUGCCGCGUGUGUGAAGAAGGUCUUCGGAUUGUAAAGCACUUUAAGUUGGGAGGAAGGGCAGUAAGUUAAUACCUUGCUGUUUUGACGUUACCGACAGAAUAAGCACCGGCUAACUUCGUGCCAGCAGCCGCGGUAAUACGAAGGGUGCAAGCGUUAAUCGGAAUUACUGGGCGUAAAGCGCGCGUAGGUGGUUUUGUAAGUUGGAGGUGAAAUCCCCGGGCUCAACCUGGGAACUGCCUCCAAAACUGCAUGACUAGAGUACGGUAGAGGGUAGUGGAAUUUCCUGUGUAGCGGUGAAAUGCGUAGAUAUAGGAAGGAACACCAGUGGCGAAGGCGACUACCUGGACUGAUACUGACACUGAGGUGCGAAAGCGUGGGGAGCAAUCAGGAUUAGAUACCCGGGUAGUCC
rnacentral:rRNA from 1 species